rnacentral:rRNA from 1 species
GACGAACGCGGCGGCGUGCUCAACACAUGCAAGUCGAACGAAGAGCGAUGGAAGCUUGCUUCUAUCAAUCUUAGUGGCGAACGGGUGAGUAACGCGUAAUCAACCUGCCCUUCAGAGGGGGACAACAGUUGGAAACGACUGCUAAUACCGCAUACGAUCUAAUCUCGGCAUCGAGGAUAGAUGAAAGGUGGCCUCUACAUGUAAGCUAUCACUGAAGGAGGGGAUUGCGUCUGAUUAGCUAGUUGGAGGGGUAACGGCCCACCAAGGCGAUGAUCGGUAGCCGGUCUGAGAGGAUGAACGGCCACAUUGGGACUGAGACACGGCCCAGACUCCUACGGGAGGCAGCAGUGGGGAAUCUCCCGCAAUGGACGAAAGUCUGACGGAGCAACGCUGCGUGAGUGAUGACGGCCUUCGGGUUGUAAAGCUCUGUUAAUCGGGACGAAAGGCCUUCUUGCGAAUAGUAGAAGGA